rnacentral:snoRNA from 1 species
CUGUAGCCAAUUAAGCCAACCGCCCCUUCUCCCAGUGGGCAGUGGCUGCGGAAGGCAGCCUCCUUGGCAGUGUACGCAGCCUGCUCCUUGUGCAGGUUGCCCUAAGGGACCGUGGAGACAGCC